rnacentral:misc_RNA from 1 species
ACCCGUAAGGGAGGGAGGCGCCUAAGGCAGGGCUGGUGACUGGGGUGAAGUCGUAACAAGGUAGCCGUACCGGAAGGUGCGGCUGGAUCACCUCCUUAUAGGGAGACCUAUUUAUGUUCUAGACUGAAACAAUACAGUAUUAAGUCAGACAUAAGUCAUCCCAAGGUCGAACGAGAUUUAUUGGAAAGCUUUCAAACUAAGUCAGGUUCUGAUUCAAGCUAACAAAAAAGCAACAAACGGGCCAUUAGCUCAGUUGGUUAGAGCGCACGGCUGAUAACCGUGAGGUCACUGGUUCGUGUCCAGUAUGGCCCACUUGAGAAAAUUUUAGUAAAACCGCAAGGAAUAGCUAAGAAAAGCUCUGGGGAUAUAGCUCAGUUGGUAGAGCGCUUGCCUUGCACGCAUGAAGUCAGGAGUUCGAAUCUCCUUAUCUCCACCAAACUACUAACAAGACCAACGAAAGCAAAAGCAAGAGUUUAGCAACUCAUCUAGUCAGGGAGAACCUAACAACUAGAGAGACUGCUAAAUUCUAGCGAAAGCGAGAAUUUAGAAAGAACCUUGAAAACUGCAUAGUAAUAGUAAUAAGAAGCAAGUAGAUCCAAAGUAGAAACUCUCGAAAGAGAGACACAGAGUCAG